GCUUUGGAUCGAUUUCAGAAGGCUGUGGAGAAUAAGAGGUUCAACCUGAUGGUCACGCGGACACGCUGCAUGGCUCAAACUGCUCUAUGAGACAUGCAGGACGUGUAACAAGAUAACGAAGUCCAUUGUAGAUGUUUUGCCCCAUGGAGGUCUUUUAGGACUGUGAGCAACAGCAGAAUUUUCACAGUAUCCUGAGGUCCAAGUUCAAUCAAAUGAAGACCCUAAACCAACAUGACAAGUUACUAACAGAACAUGGUGUAGCUGUUGGAUCCGAGGAAGCAACAGAAGGAGAAUCAACAAGCAACAUGACCACAGUAGUAUCACCAUCAGAACCAUCACAAACGUGAG